AAUACAAGUCACAAGAACACAUGGUUCGCUCUUUAAGCACUCAAUUCUCCCUCUUCCAUACACUUUGCGGCCUUUCUUGGUCUGUUGACGAACCCAACUCCUAACAACCACGUAGUUUAGGAACGACCCCAACUUCCAUGCACGCAUCAGCUCAGUGUGAUUACCAUCUGUUAGCUGUUAGAAAACUAUUUCAUUUGAAUUAAUGUUUAUAAACAGAACACACCGUGAUUACCGUGAUUAGCUCACUUAUAAACGAUCAACCGAGACUUUUCUCGCACACUUGAGUAAAUUAGUCAAACGAGCUUAAGAAAGAACUCUACUUGAUCAAAAUGCUAGCAAUGAAAAGUAAAACUACGGUCUUUCUUGUUACAUUUGCGAUAUUCGCAGUCUCUUGGCAGCUAGGUUACGCACAGAUACGCUCUCGGGGAGAAGUAUUCAACGAUGUUAUCGAAUAUAUAACUACAAUAACCGACGAUAUCUACAAGUACAACCCCAGCUGGCCGGAAGAGUUGAAAACUAACCUGUCCCAAGUGGUGACUGCGCUGAAGGAAUGGAAGGAUACUGCAAACUCCGAUAUGGCUCCACAGCAGCCGAACUUUUUACUGCACCGUAAAUAAAGAAUCUUAUUUUCGAAAAUAUAAGCUUUAAAGCAAACAAAUAAAAAUUCACUAUUAAAUAUUUCUUUGAACAA